AACGCACCUUGCACUCCCGGGUAUUCCUGGGAGUAUGUCUGUUUGAGUGUCAUGAACUCUUCAACCCACCAGUUUCUUGUAGACUGAAUGGAGUUUGGAUUUUGAAUGUUUGCUGAUCCUAGUGAUGAAGCUCAUUCGUAAUACAUUAGCAUCUCUAAUUCGAAUUCGGAUUGACUCAGUGUAAUAGACUAUUCACUGAGGAUCACCUUUGGGGUGGCCGAAUUGGAAAGAGUGGAAGCUUCCAACUAUUGUAGUCAAUUCUAGAUUAGACCUCAGAUCAGGCAGGAUUACCCGCUGAACUUAA
rnacentral:rRNA from 1 species